rnacentral:rRNA from 1 species
CUGCUUUUAUCUGGGGAUAAACCUACUUACGUGUAAGUAGCUGAAGGUACCAGAAGAAUAAGCACCGGCUAACUCCGUGCCAGCAGCCGCGGUAAUACGGAGGGUGCAAGCGUUAUCCGGAUUUAUUGGGUUUAAAGGGUCCGUAGGCGGACUGAUAAGUCAGUGGUGAAAUCCGACAGCUUAACUGUCGAACUGCCAUUGAUACUGUUAGUCUUGAGUAAGGUUGAAGUGGCUGGAAUAAGUAGUGUAGCGGUGAAAUGCAUAGAUAUUACUUAGAACACCAAUUGCGAAGGCAGGUCACUAAGUCUUAACUGACGCUGAUGGACGAAAGCGUGGGGAGCGAACAGGAUUANAUACCCUGGUAGUCCACGCCGUAAACGAUGAUUACUCGUUUUUGGGUUUAAUGAUUCAGAGACUAAGCGAAAGUGAUAAGUAAUCCACCUGGGGAGUACGUUCGCAA